AGCGUAGGCGGACAUUUAAGUCAGGGGUGAAAUCCCGGGGCUCAACCUCGGAAUUGCCUUUGAUACUGGGUGUCUUGAGUAUGAGAGAGGUGUGGUGGAACUCCGAGUGUGGAGGUGAAAUUCGUAGAUAUUCGGAAGAACACCAGUGGCGAAGGCGACACACUGGCUCAUUACUGACGCUGAGGCUCGAAAGCGUGGGGAGCAAACA
rnacentral:rRNA from 1 species